rnacentral:rRNA from 1 species
CACCAGCCCCUCGAGUGGUGGGGAUGAUUAUUUGGCCUAAAGCGUCCGUAGCCGGCCGGGUAAGUUUCCCGUUAAAUCCAGCGUCUCAAGCGUUGGACUGCGGGAAAUACUGCCUGGCUAGAGAGUGGGAGAGGUGUACGGUAUUCUGGGGGUAGGGGCGAAAUCCUUUGAUCCCCGGAGGACCACCAGUGGCGAAGGCUGUACACUAGAACACGUCUGACGGUCAGGGACGAAAGCUGGGGUAGCGAACCGGAUUAGAUACCCGGGUAGUCCCAGCUGUAAACGAUGCAUGCUAGGUGUUGGGUUGGCCACGAGCCACCCCAGUGCCGCAGGGAAGCCGUUAAGCAUGCCGCCUGGGAAGUACGAUCGCAAGAUUGAAACUUAAAGGAAUUGGCGGGGAGCAUCACCAGGCGUGAAGCCUGCGGUUU